CCCCUUUCCCUUCCGAUUCCCCUCCCAGUCCCCCUCCACCUUACCACUCCACCCAGGACCAGGACCAGACCCCUGACAGCACUCCUCAGGAGUUUGAGGAGGAGUUUGUGGAGGAGCAAAAUAAUGCUGCAGAUGUGCCCCAGUUGCGGCGUUACUUUGAAAACCAAGGGACAACCAACUUCUCUCUGAGGCUGGCCGGUAUCAGACGUGCUAUGGAGG